UGAGGAAUAUUGGUCAAUGGGCGAGAGCCUGAACCAGCCAAGUAGCGUGAAGGAUGACUGCCCUAUGGUUGUAAACUUCUUUUAUAAAGGAAUAAAGUCGGGUAUGGAUAACCCGUUUGCAUGUACUUUAUGAAUAAGGAUCGGCUAACUCCGUGCC
rnacentral:rRNA from 1 species